CGAAAGAGAUCUUCAAAGUGUUCGAAAAUUUUGAGAAGGUUUUCAGUGAAGUUGAUGGUUUGAGAAGAGAGAUCGUUUUGAAUAAUUUUGAGAAUAAAGAUCCUCUUGAAACGGAGAUCAAGAUAGACAUGGAAAAGACUCAAAGCAUAUUUUUUAUAAUAUUAUAUUUUUCCUAUGUUUGUGAAGGGGCUCCGAAUAAGGUAGUUCUUUUUCCUGUGUUUGUGAAGGGACUCCGAAUAAGGUAGUUCUAACAGCUUAGUGGUAGAACUAUUUCUGUCUAAAUCCAAAGCUAAGUUUACUUUUGACAACUCUAAUAUAAGAAAAUGAAGCUAAGAUGAGUGAUAUCAACAAGGAAUGAAAGAAAACUUGAAACAGAACCUUAAAGCUCCUAGAAAUACCUAACCAUGAUUACCUAAGUUAUUCACAAUCUAAACAACUAAGACAAAACAUUACAGUAUGAUGAAAAGAAAAAACAAUUCCUACUGGCUUAAAACAAUUACUAUACUAAAGCUCUAAAAAAGAAAACAGAAAGAAGAAAAAAAAUGAAUCAAAACAAGAGACUUAAACAAGGAUCCUAAAGGGGAAGACUUAAACUAAUAGAUUCUAAUUACAAGUCUAUAAAGAAAACAACAAAAGAGGAAAGAACCUAAAUAAGUCCAAAAUCAGAAACAAUGACAAGAAAAAGGUCCUAAACGAAUCCUUACAACUACCUAAACAGAUCCUAAGCUAACAAAGAAUUUGAAAAUUAAAAAGAAGCUAGAAAUUAUAAGCAUCUAAGAAAAUUACUAAUUAAAGGCUAAAACAAAACUUAAUAAGGAAAAGAACCUAAAACAAAUUCCUUCUUACAGAAGUUAAAACAAAGAACUAAAACAAACUCAUGAAACAGGGCAACAAAAAUAGAGAAAGGAAAAGAACCUAGUACGAGUUCUAUAUACAAGUAUAAUGGCAAAAUCCAAUCUAAACAAUCUUAAAAACAAACUAACACAGAUCCUAGACAAAAUAAUUACAAACUGAACUAAGUAUAGCUAUUUACACUAAGAACUUCAGUGUUUACACACAAUCAGACCUAACCUAAAGAGAAAAACAGCUCAGAAAAAAAAAUUCACCCCUAUUUUAUUACUAAACUAAUGCUAAACAGAGAUAUUUACAACAGAACAAGACUUUUACAUCUAAAACUUCCCACCCCCACACUUAAGAGGCACAUUGCCCUCAAUGUGUGAGUAAGGUUCCUAAACAACACAUAUUAUACAUAUUUACAUAUCAACAGGAAAAAGAGCAUCAGAAUUAUACAAAUCAAAAUUGAAAAAGCUAAAAUUGAGCAAAGAUAUGUACAUAACAGAAUUAAGAAAACUGAACACAAUAUAGCACAAAAUGUAUAUGAACUAUGAAAACUAAACUAAAUCUGCAAAACUAAAGGAAAAAGAAAAAUUAUUCAAAUGGGCCACAAGUCAAAAUUGAUUCUUUUUAGUUUUAUGAAAAAUAGCAUAUUUUCUACUCUACUAUUUACUAUGCUAUCUAUAACUAUGCACAUUACUAUCAAAUACCUAUAACUACUAUUUAAGAGUAGGGAAAAGAAAGUUCUUAUGGGUUUUUCUCCAUUUUGCUCAUCCACUUUGUGCAGUCCCUCCAAGGUUGCAUUGAGUUGCUCUUUCUCAGCUCUCCACUGCAGCAAACUCAACUCUUCUUUUAAUGCUAGCUGCUGGCUCUGCACUAUUAAGACUCUUUGAGUAGUGGUACAUCUAUCUCUAGCAACUAGGACUUUUGUUCCUUCAGUGUUUACAGCCUCCUCAAGAUCAGUGCCUGCACUAGAUGUAUCAUCUGCAACAUCCAGAUCAAGAUUAAUAUGCACAAUUGAAUCAUCAAACUUUGCAGAAUUGUCACAGGUAAAAGCAUAAUCAUUCAGCAGAUCAUCAAGAACAUAUGCAUUCAAUUCAGAACACCCACCAGUAAGUGUGUUUGUAUGAUUCACAGCAAAAAUUUCAUCCACCAAUUCAAAAUUAUAAGGAACAUCAGGCACAACAGGUAACUCAAGUAAAACAUUGAUAACAAUGUGCAUUUCAGAUAAACCAUUAGCAAUAUCAAGUUCAGAGUUAACCUGGACUGAUUCAUCAAAGACAACCUCACCAGUAUGAUUCAGUGGCCACAACAUCACAUGCUACACAACUACCGUCAAUUGAAACAGUGUCAAAAUCAGUGUAUAACUAUGUAACAGCAAUAGACACAUCAAUAUGCUCAAUUUCAAAUGCUGCCUUAAGAAAAUCCUAAAACUAACCUAACUCUAGACAAUUAGAAACAAAAAGAAACUAAAAUUGACUUCUAAACACAAGAAAUGAGAGAAAAACUGAGAGUUAUCACACCCCCACACUUAAGGACUGUCAACCUGGGCAGGGAAAAGAAAAAGAAAAACAACAUACACAACGGAAACAUUUCACAACCCAAACAACACAUAGAUCAACCUUACUGCAUCACUGAAAGUACUGAAAAUUUAAAGCUAACAAAACAUAAUCAAGACAACUAAGCAUGUUAGAAAUUGCUAAAAUAAGGCAACUAUGCAACAGAAAUUGAAAGAACCAACUACUAAAAUCAACUUGACCUCACAGGUAAGUGUUUGCACUCAACUCUCGUGUGUUUUCAGGAUUGGUAUUUUCAGCACUCAACAAAAUAAGCUAAGCAACAUUACCAUAGGCUUGUACACAAUCUAAUUUCAACUGCUGAACAUAUGCACACUCAAGAUCAUCAGGUAUUUAUGCAGGCUUGUAAUGUAAAUAAAAAUGGAAUAGGCUAUAUGGAUAGAAAACAAAAGCUGGAAUGGAUUAGAGAAAUGUGAAAUAAAGAAGAGAAAAUUGGAACUCAGUGAACGCAUUUCAAUUUGACUUGGCCAAAUAUAUUUUUUUUUCUGGUUUUCUUUCUUUGCCACUCUCUUUUUUUUCAAGUCUUUUUCUCGACUCAAUUUUCUAUUUUUCUCUUUUUUCCAUAUCUUUUUCUUUCUUUUCAGACCAGAUUUUUCAUACCCAUCUUUCUUUUCUUUUUUUCACCUCUGACCAUUUAUUUUUUCUUGCACUCGCUAAAUUCCUGCAUUCUCCCUACUUUUCACAAGACUCUAAGGGUUGGUGUAUUUGGUUUUCAGAUAGUUAAGGGUUUGUAAUGUGAUAUGAACAUCAGGAAUAGGCUAAGGCUCAAAUAAGGGUACAAUGGAAAAGAAAUGGUAGGAUGGGCUAUUUGGCUAGAAGGCUAAAACAAAAGAAGGCCUGAAUCACAUCAAAAAUGCAUCAUAGUUCAGCUGUAUCAAAUAGAAAAUGCACAAGUUCUAGAAUGUCACUAACCUAGGUGUAAAUACACUACAAAGAAUUAAGGCUCAAGGCUCACUGGGUAAUAUAUGCCAAGUUGACUCUAGAGUUGGUUUCUCAAAAUUUCAAGCACUUCUACCUUACUUUAACUCCUCCUAAUUAAGCUAGAUGUCCUAAACUAUGCAUGCAACUCUCAAAGAAAUUCAGCAAAACAGCAAAAUUAACCUAGACUGUUCAGCUUGCAAAAAGGAUUUUAAAACUAACAGAACUAACACAAGGCAAUGUACAAAAGAAUUGAAACAAGGCAAAGAAGUGAGUAAUAUGCGAAACAGAACCUAGAAGGACCUAAGAAUGUUUAACAGGAUUACCUAAGCUAUUUACAACCUAAACAAAGCAAGACACAACUAAAUAUAACUCGGACAGCUCCUACUAAAGCUCUACGAAGGAAAACAACAGAAGAAUAGAAAAUAGCCUAAACCAAGAAAGCAAAAAGAACCUAAAGACAUCCUAACAGGAGCAAUGAAUAAGAAGAGAAACUAAAAACAAUUUCUAAAAGAACCUAUAAGUGAAGAAACAAAAGAAAAAAAAAAGAAUCUAGAACAAGCUAAAAAAACAGAACUAUGAACAAAGAAUUAUCUAAAGAUUUAAGCAGAACAUUAGAACAGAAAAACAAGAAUAGAAAGAGGAAAAAAAAAACUAGUACGAACUCUAUUUACAGAGACAAUCUAAAGAAUAUAACCUAAAUAAUCGUAAAAGCAGCAAAACUAUGUAUUUACAAACUAGAAUUAGGUAUUUUACAAACUAGAACAAGAAUGGCAGACUACAGUAUGUAUCUAUAAACUCAACCAGACCUAAAACUAAAGCGAAAAACAACUCAGAAAAAAAAUUACCUCUAUUAUACUACAAAAACACAUAUUAAAAGGGUUAUAACAAAGCAAAAGAAAAAAAUUUAACUACACCUUCUCACCCCCACACUUAAGAGGCACAUUGUCCUCAAUGUGAGUGAACAAGGUUAUUUAUCAGCACAGACAUAUAUACAGAUCAUACAGCAACAAAUAUGUACACAAACAGAAUUGAAAAAGAAUACAAAUUGAACCAGAAAUAUGUACAAAUCAAACAGCACAGGAUUAUACAAAACAAAAUUGAAAGAGCUAAAAUUGAGCAAAGAUAUGUACAAAACAGAAACUACAAGACACAAAAGAAUAAGAAUUGAACAAGA
rnacentral:lncRNA from 1 species